GGCGCGGGGCAUGGGGGCGACGGGCGGCCGGACCGACAGCCGCACGGACACACGGACACUCCGACACACCGGCACUCCGACCUUUACACCCGCCACGGCCGGCCGGGCGCGGGCACGGGAAGCGCAGGGAGCGGCAGCGGCAGCAGCAGGAGCAGGAGGAGGAGGAGGAGGAGAAGGAGAAGAAGGAGGAGGAGGAGGAGGAGGAGGAGGGGGAGGAGGAGGCAACGCCGCUCCGCCUCCGCCGCGCCCCGCUCAGGUAUGGGGAGGCUCGGCUCGGCUCCCUUCGGCUCGUCUUUUAUUUUUUUUUAUUUUUUUUUUCUAAAAGAGAAAGCUCUUUUUAAUAAAUAUUUUUUCUUCCCGUCCGCUUCCCCCGCGGUCCUCAGCAUCCCGGCCAGUGCCGGCGCCCCCCGGGCAGGGUCCCCGCCACGACAGCCCAGUGGAUUCUUUACAAGUGCAGGACGGGUUGGAGUUUAUUUUAAGGUCCUGGCCUUGUUCCUGUAUUGUAACGACACAUGGAGACCCAGGAACAGAUGGAUGGAUGGACAGCUGAUGGCACAGGCCAGGGAGGAGCAUCAAUUCUGACAUCUCUAAAUGUCACCAGGACAGAGCUGGCUGUUGCUAAGUACAACCUCAGGUCCUGAAUUUUUGCAUGCAAAGAUGUCCCAAAGACCUCAAAUCUGGAUUUCACUCCUGCACCACAGAGAAGUCACCACGUGCUACUGGCACAAUCCUGGGGUCUGGCAGAGUCACUGUACCCUGGGAGUUGUUGCACUGGCUGUUUCUGCUGCAAGGGUUCCUACCUGAGUUAAACUAAUGAUAAAUUAUUCCAGGUGGUAAAGCCAUGAAUAAUUAACAUUCCUGCAAAUAGAACUGAUUCUGUCCAAAGCCCUGCAGCACAGGAAGCGGGGACCAAGCCAGCACCUUGCCACAGGGCAUGGGGAACCACUCCAGGGAUCAUCAUCUUGUGUGUGGCCGAAAACAUCACCAUGGAAAGCCCUGGGGUCAGCAUAAAAGCCCUUGUAUGCAGAUGGGUGCUUGUAGAAAAGUCUUAAAGCCUUGGGAGAUGCUGAGGAUUCAAACCCUGGAGUGAGCCUGGGAUGAUGUGAAGUCACCCACACGCUCCACACCUCUGCUUUUCCUCUGUCACCACGACAAAUGUAAUUAAAAAAUAGAGGGAAGAAUAUUUUUCAAAGCUCUGGUACAUGUCUAAGUGAAGAGGCUGCAGCUGCCAGGUUUCUAAAUGCCAGUGGUUCUGUUUCUGUGUGGCUCAGAGCCCCAGUGCAGGACAAGCUCGAGUCUGGGCCAGGCUGCUUCCCUCACCAGUGGUGUCCCUGCGCUCAGGGUUUAAUAGCUGGUUUGCCUGCAGGAUUGCUCACUGGGGCAGGAAAUGCCACAGGAUUUCAGGAGCAGCAGCUAACACUCCGGAGGUGCCCUGCAAGCCACAAUUCCAGAUGUGUUUGGCUUGUUACUGCCUGGUGACCUGUAAGUCAGAAGUGUAACGUGAGCGCUGGCCCGAGGCAGGCAAAGGCACGACCAUGCUUUGAAGCACGUCCUGCUUGCUGCCCUAUUUGCCCAGCCUACUGCGAGGAGAUCCAAGGAGCUGGAAGAAGAUGGAAAUCAGCAGAAUUAAGGAAACACUUCAGUCUUGCCAGAGAAAAUCAUUCUUACUGCGUCGCUCCUCUGUUGGGGGCAGCAAGAAGGUGCCUCGCAAGGAGGUUCUGUCUGACCCACCCAGCCUCACCAGUUCUUCUGGACCAACCUGAAUCCUGCAAAGCACUUGCCAGCAAAGGGUUCAGCCCCAGAAACACAUUCAUACACCAACAGUUUUCUCUCAGAAGAGUUUAGUUGCCCGUUAUCCCAUGGGAAUUCACUCCUGCUGAAGGCAAACUUCUUCCAGUCUGAUCUUUUAAUCUUGUGCAGACCUCAUGUUCAUUGCAGAGGAAAUUUGCCUCCAGGAGCAGGAGCUCAGACACUCUAUAAAUGUUUGAUAGCUCUGACCACCUCUUCUGAGUUAUUAUUUUAUUAAAAAAGGAGAUUUAUUAUGGUUCUGGGUGACUUGAAUUCACAAAGCUCACCAAUAUGGUAUUUUUUUAUCUCUCAUAUCGGGUGUACCCAACAAAUGUCACAGCCUUUAAUAACAUGCUUUAAUUAAUCCUGGAAUUCUGAAUGUGCUAUUAUCUUCAUUUUUCAAAGAGAGGUCACAAUAGUAAAGGAAAAUCUACAUUGCUUGCACGGGCUAGUCCAGGAGUCUGCGGCAGACCAGGAAAUUAAUCUCUUAAUCAUUCUGCCAAUUUGACUCAGUGGUGAGAGCACAGACCUUUGACUACCUCAGCUCUCUGCACUGAUGAAACUAUUUCCUUUAUCUGGGAUGGCUUCCCAUCUGCAAAACAGGAGCAGCUCUGAUGUCCUCUGUGUAUCUGUGGAGAUGGCUGCUGAAAAGCACCGUGUACAGGCUCCACAUCCUGGUUACCAGCCUACCUGUCCCAGCCUGAUGCCUCAUCUUCUUGGAAGCUUCCUUCCUUUUGUCCUACAGAUACUUCCAGAAGUAUCUGUAGGACAAAACCUGUUUGGAUCCAAGGAAUCCAAGGAAGAAGCCAUGAGAGGCACUGCUCUGUCGGGAUGGAAGCAGUUCCAGAGGAUUUGUCUCUCUCCCAUCUGGUGACUCAGGAAGUUUUGUCUGUCAGCAACAACAAAAUCCCACCACACUCCUUUUCCCCUCAGCAGGGACAGGUUCUUCCACCGUUUACACCCAGAAUUAGCUGGGCUGCUGAAAGACCACUGAUACUGUUUCAGAUUAAUACAUCUCCACCUGGCCUUUUUCUCCACAGGGGACAAAAAAGCGUUUGUCAGCUGGGUGUCUGCUUUAAACCGAGAGGAAACAACUUUGCAGGGUGUUUGUUCCUGAUUUGUUCCAAGAUGUCUGGGAUCUGGUGCUCCUGAGCUCUGAUUCCAGCUAAUUAUCAGCUCCUCUACGCAUCCAGUCAUGUUCUCACACAACAAAAACACAACCUGGUUUGCUGACAGGGGGCCACAAACUGAAAAGGAGGGUGGGAGGGCAAAAAUGGCAGAGCAAGUGGCUAGUAGAAGAUGCAAGUUUUGGAAGAAAAGGGUGAAAAAGCAGGAGCUGGAGGAAAGAUGGCAGAAGCUGAAAAGCUGAAGGAGAGAGAAACAGCUUCAGAUAAGCAGCAGCAAAGACUCAUAUGGAAAAAUGAAAAAAAGGACAUAAAACGUUUCCAAAUGCCACAAAGUCUGUGAGCAAGAAAGGAUGAGAGGUUUUACAUGGAUUCUUCACUUCCCUCCUCUGAACGGGACAGAGGAAAAACUAAUGAAAUAGUUUUGACUAUUUUUUAUUUCCAGCAAGGAGCUGGUCAGGAGCAGCACUGUGGGGAGCAGCUGGGUCACUCCUACCCGUGCUCCUCGUGUCACCCACAUGUCCUCCUGCAUUAGGGGCAAGCUGGCCACUGGCAUGGGGGCAGAGAGGUCAGCGAGAUGUCCCUGUUCCCCACUGCCAAAACCCACCAACACCUUCCUGGGGACAGCCAGCCAGCUUCUGUGUUGCUGUUUUAAAAUGGUGGUGGUGCUCUGGCCCCACAUUCCAUGUGCUCAGAGUGUGGUGAUCCAAGGAAGCCCAGAGAGGCAGAGGUGCCAUGAAAAUUAUAGAGAAUAAACCUUUUCACAAGACACCUCUAACUUCA
rnacentral:lncRNA from 1 species